AACGAACGCUGGCGGCAUGCCUAACACAUGCAAGUCGAACGGGAUCCUAGCUUGCUAGGUGAGAGUGGCGGACGGGUGAGUAACACGUGGGAAUCUGCCUUUUGGUUCGGGAUAACCGCGGGAAACUGCGGCUAAUACCGAAUGCCCUCGAGAGAGGAAAGAUUUAUCGCCAGAAGAGGAGCCCGCGUCCGAUUAGGUAGUUGGUGGGGUAAAGGCCUACCAAGCCGACGAUCGGUAGCUGGUCUGAGAGGAUGAUCAGCCACACUGGGACUGAGAUACGGCCCAGACUCCUACGGGAGGCAGC
rnacentral:rRNA from 1 species